AACGUAGGAGACAAACGUUAUCCGGAGUUACUGGGCGUAAAGGGCGUGUAGGCGGUAUGUUAAGUCUGGCGUGAAAGCUCUCGGCUAAACCGGGAGAGGUCGUUGGAUACUGGCAAACUAGAGGAUGGUAGAGGCGGUGUGGAAUUCCGGGUGUAGUGGUGAAAUGCGUAGAGAUCCGGAGGAACACCGGUGGCGAAGGCGGCAUCCUGGACCGGCAUUGGACGCUGAGGAGCGAAAGCCAGGGGAGCAAACGGG
rnacentral:rRNA from 1 species